CACUCCUGUGUUUCUUGACCAAAACCCCCUGGCAUCACAACAUAGAAUGAAAAAUUUCAUCAACAAAUGCCUGGACCUGGAACCUGGGGUACACUACAACGACGAAUAUUUUGGUUCGAAAGAAGCCUAUGACGAAAAGGUGACUCCUUUCACUGAAGAAGAAUUGAAGAAUUUACCAGACAUGAGUAAAUACAAGUCGUGUAUUCCAUACAGUAUCGACCCCGUGAAACCCAUGAUGAGAUAAAUUACGACUGCAUAUCAAACCAUGCCUUCUCCUGAAAUAAACAUGGUACUGGAGUGAAUAAUAACCACAAUUUGUAUAACAAUAUAUAAUAACAAUAUUAUAUACAAUUGAUAUAAAACUAUAUAUCACCAUUAACAUUCACCACUGACAUACUAUUACGUUCGAUGAUUCUGGUAUUCCAAAUUACCGUGAAUUUAAUCACCGUACUAAUUUUCGAUCGAAAUGGCUAAUUAGUUUUAGAAGUUUGCCAUACACAAGUGAUGAGAGACAUAGUUUCGACAUAGUUUUAUAAGGUUCUCCGAAAAGAACUACCCAUAAUGACGUACGAUAACAACUUCUCCGGAAAUACUUCAUCUAUUUAUUUAGCUAAGAGCAUGAUAAGCAUUUUAUGUAAAUUAGUUGGCACAACGAUCAUGUCUUAAUAUAGCGUAGAUGCCAGGCUCUUUGAUUAGCCUGUGUACUCAGUGUAUAUCAAAUCAUGAUGUCUUUGCGUAACAGUGUUAACACCGUACAGGAUUAUUAUUAUAGAAAAAUUUUGAUAUCAAAUUAUUUUAUGUUAUAUUCUUCCUGCAUGUACUAGUACUGGUGAUAUCGUAGGAGAGAUCUCAAACAAAUUUACUUACGUUGUAUUACUGUGAUGUAGUGCGGGUUAUUAUAAUGCUUUCUACUAAUAGUCAAUUUAGAGGGUAAAUAAAUAAUAGAUAAAUGCAUUGAACAA